UAGCAAGAGUGCAAGUAAAGGAUUUAUACAGUUCAUAUAUGAUAUCUGAAAGUAAAAUAUUUUUUUCCCAGUGUAGAUGCAGACUUUCAUUUAGAUUUAGCAGGUGAGAAAUAAAUUAAUAUGUUUCCAAAACUGCUACAAAUUCAGUCUUUUUUCCUAUUCAAAUGUCACAGAAACAUGCCUUGGAAAUCAACCUCUGGAGGUUACCUAGUUCAAUAUCCUUCUCAAACUGAUAACACUACUUCUGUCUGUCUUGGCACAGUUUAACCAUGAUGAGAAAUGUUUGACGAUGAAGGCUCAGCAAAGGAAAACAAUACAGGAAGAAGAGAUCUACCUAAGUGAAAGAUUCCACUUGGCACAAAAGCAACUGGCUAUGAUUAAGUGCAGGCCAGAAAUUCAAAGGAAAUUUGGACUACCAGAUGAGUUUGAUUCUAAUGUGACUCUUGAGGGCAUUAUGGUUGGAGCUUAUGUCAGCCACAACAGAAGAAAGUGCUUGAGUGAAUCGAUGGCAAACCGUUGUACAACCUAAAGAAUUCACAAUUUUCACAUACUGAAGGGCAAGAUGUCACAUUUCACAGAAGUGGUAGGCAAAAUUUUCUUGUUUUCAGUCAAUUUUUACUGUUUGCUUGCAGAACUGAAAAUCUUCACACUGACAUAAUGUCUAGAACAAAGUUGUUUGUUUGAUUUCUGUGAAAAACAGAAGUAUAACUGAGGUUUUCUUAAAUGAACAGGUGCUUCCUUCUUAUUAACUCUGAAGUUGGUUUCAGAAAUCAUAGCUUACACAGGAAUUACAUUUCACCUCUACAAGCUAACCACCCACUCUGAAUAAGGGCUUGUUCAGUUAUCAAAACUUUUAACCUAUGCUAAAAUCAAUUUCCUCAUUUCAGAUAAGACUCUCAAUCUAAGUCACUUUGGGUAAGAUGAGCAAUGCCAUGGAAUAUGCUCAGCCUCUCUAGAGCAUAUAUAUUUAUGCCACAUUCUCCAUAUAGAUCUUAGCAUGCUCCAAGCUGAUCAGCAUUCUCUCAAGAAAUGUCUGAGGACUUUUGUGUACUUAGAAGAAAACAGAGACCAUUUCCAAAAAGCAACAAGGUACUGACUAUUUUGGAAAUUAAAAAUAGUAUCUGGUGCCAGCUGCAGAGAACAGCUAUUUAUCUCAAUAUACAUGAAGGCUCCAUGUCAGGCAUCUAUGACUGUCAUUAUUUACAUUUGACUUUUUUUUCUGGAUGCGUUAAAACAACCUGAGAGUCCAAAUGGGUUGCCUAAUAGAUCUUCUCUCUGUACCAGAAAGUGUUUAUAAUAUUCUUUCUCGAAUGCCUAUUCACAUAUGUGGACAAAUUCUUCCAGCAGAAAGUAAACGGGCAGUUUUACCACCCACCUGCUGCUGUUAUGAAAGCUAAUGCAGCUAAUGCAGCUUUAAUUUUCAAUGGGAAAGAUAAUUCACCCAAAAAAAUAAAAAGCAAAAGAACAGGAACUUCA
rnacentral:lncRNA from 1 species